AUCAGUUCAUCGUGGCCGUGAUGACACUGAGCACAGUAUUAAUAUUACCGUGCCGUUUAGCCAGUGACGAUGUGCUUCUCAGUUUGUCUUCCAUGUGCAAUGUCAACAUGAAAAGGAAAAUGGCUGCACAAUUGCGUUCCGAUUUUUAGAUGUGUCACGCUUUGAGCAAAACAUCGUUGCCAUCUGUUGUUGCGCCCAGUUUACGAUGUCACCCGGCGGUGUUGUUAAAUCUGCCUGCAACCUUGUUUACUCAUCGUGCUUAACAAAAAUUCCACACGUCAUUCUAUAGCACGGAUAUGGCUACAUUUUGGAUGGUUUUCAUAGCACGGAUAUGGAUGUAUAGUCGUGAGCAACACGAGUUGGAACACUGAACUUGCCUUUUAAAGGUCAUAGCGGCUAAACGCAGUUGGUAAGCACAAAAGUGAUCGUGGCACGAAAUGCUCAAGAAGAAAGGUACCUCUGGCAAUUCAACACGUCACAUUCAUAUCAGCACAUUACAAGUAAUUGUUGAAUAAACGUGAAUUCGGUGUUCCAGCUCAUAUUGCUCAUAGAACAUAAGGAGCCCGUUAUCUAUUCUGGUCUGAUAAAAUAUUAACCUAUUUGUUAUGCUCUCCCCGAGUUUAUCUUCACGGGUGGUGUCGUUUGCCAGUGUCGAUGGAAAAGACAAGAAACUGGCCUUUACGACUGUACAGAUGUCCUGGCGUAUAGUUUAAUCACGGUUGUUCCGCAAGUGUUACGCGACAUGCCUCUGUCCUCGAGACCUCCGUCGUGCUUGUAUUGGCUGCAGCUGCACGGUUGAAUACCGCCACUCUAUAGAGGUGUCACUAAAUAUGGCUGUGAUGUAGUGCACUCGGCAGCAUGCACAGCUUCAUUUCGCAAUGAUACUGCACAGGGUGGUUCGGGCUGCCUUCCGCUUGUGUUCCCUCUUCAUAGCCGAGAUGGCUGCGGUACCGCACUAAGCUUCAUGCAGAAGUCGCAUAACUGCGUGGUCGUUUCAUAUUGUUUCACGGUUAUGAGACUUAAUUGACUGUUUAGUUGCGUUGUUUUGAGUAAAGUGUUCAACAGUACACACACGAUGCAUAACGGGUGCUCGAAAUGAAUACCCCCUCGUUCCUAUUGCGCCUUCAUUUCAGCCACGCCCCGUAGUAGACAAUGCGGCACCUGUUGGCUGAUCUAACGAGCCAACACUGGUUUACCGUGGCCUGGAUCGCGGAGGCCUCGGCUUUACCGCCCUGGCAGCUAUGUCUUCGACUGGCUGCGCCACUGAGAUUUAGCCCCGCGACUCGCGAAGGCCUAUAUUCUGUUCUAGAAAUGCUGUUCUCGAGUGGCGCGCGUGACUCCAAAAAACGCCGGGUGUUGGGUGCCGUUACCCGGUAUCGUGUCACCGCUUACCACUGCGCACGAAAUGCGCCUUUACAUGCUGCCGUAUUACUUUUGGUGGACGUUUAUGGACUCUCUAAGACAGCGGCGUCCUUUCACUGUUACAGCAGUUUCCUUGUGGCGAGGACUGGUGCGAAGUCCUUGUUGACGUGGAGCUGCUGAACCGACAUAAUUUUAUAACGAAACUGCGCAUACUGCUCGGGCGCAUGCACUCAGCUUCGGGAUUCGAACAAUCAUGGGUGCGAAGAUAACAAGGCACUCACCGUUAUUUCUGUUCUUCUUUUCGAGUGCUUUUUACGAAAAUAAUACAUCACCUUGGUGUCACCACAAUAGAUGUCCUGAUUAAAAAAAAAAACAUAUUCAAUUUUAGCGUGUCACGCUGCGAGGGCCCUUACACGUUCCAACCCCCUCACCCCUUCCCCCAUGACGUGUGUGUCUUCGUUUUGCACAGGGACAAAUUCAUAAGCGCACACUAUAGCGGAUACGUAGUAGCAGACCAACGAGUGUAUACGAUGUCGUUAUGGCGCAUUUCGUGUUCGAGUGUUGUAUUCUUCGUUGUAACCGUUCGUUCUAACUGAGGCCGGAAUGCACCGCCGCCAUACUUCAUAGCACGUGUGGCACCACGUGUCGCAAGUAUUGAGCUCCUCUCGACUGCUUCGUGCGACGUCUCCGAGUCCGUGAUAAUUGGUCGUGGAAUUUUCGUUCGUCACAACACGCUUAGAUGUGUCCUCUCAUGAGUGGCCCCAUUUUCACGGUGGACCUGUCAUGGCGUGGUCGUUCGAAUCCGUUGAUGUGCGCCUCUUGCGACAGAUGGUGUCGAUUAUGUUUUCGGCAUAAAGGCGCAUUUGCACACGUUUGCAGUCUGUAUGUUUAACACUACACACAAGUUCUGGAGGAAUGUGUGCAGGACACGAUGCUUUCCUUCUCAAGCAUACGGAUCCGCGAAGCGACUGAAAGGCAAGCCGAAGCCUACGCACAUCAAGCCCAAGCACGACAGUACAGCAUCGAUGGGAACCGAUCACUCUGGUUCCAACAUCGCGUGCAAUCCUCAAAGUGCUCUCUGUUUUUUAUCUUACGUUUGUCAGAGUGUGCAGAAUGGUGUACGCCCGUGAAGCGCGAGCAAACCGCUUGGCUGUUGCGCCGUUUUAUAGCUCUGGGUGUCCCGCUUAGCUUUGAGUGAUACUGAUUGAUCGCCUGUCUGCUCGAACAGGCAGUACUCGUCUCGAGUUCAACCAGCAAGCAACGCAGUAAACCUGGAACUUAACUCGUGAAGCUUCAGAAAGCUAGGCCGGUAUUCAAAAUAAAUAAAUAAAUAAAUAAAUAAAUAAAUAAAUAAAUAAAUAAAUAAAUAAAUAAAUAAAACUUUCUUAUGCUAUUAUUGACACUUUCGCAAAAAAAAUCUGUAAGCUGGCUUUCCUGCAAAACUAUUUUCCAAACAAAAAAAUCUCGACCACAGAAUGCUUUUCUCGCUCCACACCUCCACAUUCCAGCGAAGGUGCGAGAGCACCUCUAAGGCUUUUGAAGAAUGUUUUGCGGCAGUACCGCGCCUCAUGAUAAGCUCCGUGGUGCACAGAGAAAAAGGGAGACGCGAAAGCAAGGAAAGGCAUGGACGAGUGUUGAAUGGAAAUAAUAGUCACUUGUGCGGUAGAGGUUAUUCGUUUGGAAAAUAUAUUUGCUCGCGUAGCUAUAUUGCAAUGUGCCAAUCGUUCCUUGUUUGCAAAACCAGCGCAAACGACAAAGACGAAGCGAGACGGCGACGGCGCCUUUUUUCGUCUCUGCUGUUUGCACUGGUUUUGCACGUAAGGAACACUAGCACCUUCAGCGUUACCUUCUCUUAGAACUGUUCGUGAGAAAUUCAACCAACCAUGAUGCUAGGCAUAUCAUUAGCGGACCCGGUUGACCAAUCAGAAUAAGCGCUUGCGACCAAAUGUUAUACAGUUAAUUCGGCUAAUGCCCUGGUGAUUCGGUAGCACGUGCGCGUUGAAUGAAAAUGAGCAGAUAACCCGGCCGGCAGCUAUAAUGUAAGUUUAUAAUGUGAGUUUCCAUUCCAGUGCUAUUCCCCUUUGUGCUUCGAGCUUCCUUACGUUUAGGUGCUCCUAAGGAACCCAAGGUGGUUAAAAUUACUCGUAGUCCUCCACUACAGCGUGCCACGUUAUCGAGUCGUAACUUUGGCUCGUCAAACCUGACCAUUCAUAUUAAUCAGGGUCUGAGCUGUGCUCCGCCCGUUUUAUCAUAUCAUCGGAAUCGGCUGGCCGAGAACGGUGAAUAAUCAUCAAAAUGGGUGAAUUCUUACAUGAUAUCGACCCUUUGUUUAUCGUGCUUGCCUCGUUUCGGGCAUCUCAGAUCCUAACGCUGAAUUUUUUUUCUCCUUUCGAACACGCUUACUUUUUUAGACCUCUGUUGACGCUGUAAUUGGUCCCUUCCCAUCACGUAUCACGACGACUGUAUAUAAAGUGCCCGUGCAAUGUUGCUUCUCUGAAACCGGAAAAGAAAAACACUACAGGGAAGCAUCUUAUUGCGUGGGAAAUUUAAUUCUGUACGGUAUGUUAUAUCGUGCAAGUUCGGUACAGCUGCGGCGCUCAUGUAUGUAACUAGAAAGAGCACGAGUGUUAACAUGGCUGAGUCUUGGUUGUACAGCAAAUGGCUCCACGCGAAUAGUUAACUGAACAAGUUUAAAUACGUCCGUAGUGCAGUGGUGCAAGAACGCUUGUUCGCCUUAUGUCUCGUCUUCGCGAUGUUCUAGUGCGAAUAAACGGCUCCGAGCCGGGCGACCGUGUACCGGCUGUGUUAGUAAAAGUACCCUAAUGUAAUUUUAACCGUAUAUGAUUGGGACUAGAAAUAUAUCGCGGUGUGCGACAAACUUGGACCUGUUAGCGGCACCUUUAAACGCAUGAAUGCAUUACGCAUUCCUGUUUGUAAAAAAUGCAACCCUUUGUUAAGUACACGUAGGCAUCUCUUCUGCCUGUUUCGUCUAUGUAGCGGUCGUAAAUGCACGCCAUACUCGUAAUAAUACUUAUUGGGCUACUGUAAGUGCUUCAUGAAAGUGGAAACUAUUGCGUCGCGUGUUUUGCGAGCUGCUGAGUUUAAGGAAAAGUCGUUCAGUUUCCGCGGAAUUAAGGUGACCGCACGUUUGCUGAACCAAACACGACGUAUAGAAAGUUUCAAUUAUGCCAUUGGAGCUCUGGAAAAACGGUGUAUGUGCGCAGGUAGGGUAUUUGACCGAAGACUACGCAUUCCAUUCUGUCGUAUGAUAGACUAUAUCCAGUCACUCAAGCGGUGUCUCGCUCGCAGCGAGGCGAACGUUUGCGCGUCAACUUUAGAAGUACUCUCGAAGGCGAGUUUGCGGGGAAGCGCACCCCCGAACGAUGUGUUCAACUUUGUUUCUUACGUGCGUUUGACAGUGUACAUAACGAAUUUGUUGUUUCAAGUGUUGUUCUGUUGACAUUCCUCAACCAACAGGGUGCAUCAUACGGUGUUUCUGAAGACGAUUGUACUUCGCGCCUUUGUAAUGGCAUUUAUGCCGUAUAAGUGAGAACAGCGUCGGUGCCCGCCUUGCACUGUAACUGUAGGCGUUGUGCGUCGCUGCAAAAUGUAUUUACCUGGGCCGAUCGUUCACUGUUUGUACAGACGGGAGAAUUUUUUUAACAGGCCCCGAAGGGCCGCACAUGCCUGUUUUCCGUGUCUCUUGCAUGCGUGGGGCGAACACUUUUUCCUAAGGACGCACACUCGGUGGGUAUUGACAUCUCCAAUUACAGUAAUGAAGACUGUGAGCGCAUUGUGCUGAAAUCUCGUAAUAAGUGUUUCCGAGUUAUUUCAGUUCUUCCCGGAUGCAUUUUGGAAGAAAUACGAACUGGUGUUAGCUUCGUUGACUUUGUGGUUGUAGUGCGGAAAUUCCAUAAAAACCGCGUCGAGACGGUGCUCACUUGGGAUUAAUGGUUUGGGACCGUGUAUAGAUUAAUUUAUUUUGCGUUAACACGUGAUUAGUGUAAGAGGAAGGUGACAUAUAUAGAUAAGAAGUUGAUGACGACAUCAACAGAUGUGGCGUAAAACGGCUGUUUGCCUUCGCGAUUUUAUCCAGGAAGCGUAACCUGCACUUUUCUUCUUUUUGGCCCCCGUAAUGUUUAAUUCAGAUCGGCGUUGGUGCUUUCGAGUGAACGCACUGGAUAUGUGAGACCUCGCGGUCCACUCGAACACAUGGUAGUGCCUGCCGCUCUGAAAGGUUUCGAGAAAAUGCGGCAGAUCACACGCACAUGAUGUGUUGUUGGAAAUGACUAGGCACUCGGUGUUUCAUCGGCCGGAGCACUGCACCGCGAAGCCGACUUGAUGUCAUGAAAAUGCGCACCUUUCGAGGAAGCGCUGGUUAGUGAGGUCUCAGCGAGUGUCGCACACCUCUUGCUACUCUGGUGAGGCAUGUGCUCGUCAAAGGCGGAGUGGGAGGGCCACGAGUGUCUUCAACUUGGCCGUCUCGCCUCGUGCAUGACUGGAGCAGUGAAGGCUAUACAGGUGGCCUGUCCAAUAUUCAUUUCGCUUGCAGCGCAACCGUAACGAAUAAGCACUUAGCGCCCGUGUUGCGCGUUUCUUUGUUGAUAAUGUGUUAUCGAUGGGCCACGAAGUGUGAAUGAAACAUACGGUAGUAAAAUGGCCAUGUUAUUACCGGCCUUCAGAAUACCUGAGAUUCAGAAAAAUCUGUGACCGGGAAUGCGGUGAGGUGUGUCGUGGUCAUACAACGUUCCGCGGAUAGUUGGCAUAUUACAACGGCGCAGCGCUUGUAACUCCCUUCAAGCGGUUACACUGCCUCGUCGGGAACCCUGAACACAAGGGACUCGAGGCACACGCUGCCCUGAAGUGUUCGACGGAAGGCUGAGUUUUACGAAGCGUCCAGUGGAUAACGUGCUAACAUUGUUUAAAACUUGUCAAACAUAUCGCUUCUGAGCUAAGGAAUUCUACAGGGUGAAGCGCAGUUCAUAUGUUGCGGCUGCGCUGGAAGUGAAAUGACUCUAUGCGCAACGGUAAGAAGGGGAGAUAGCGGACGCAGCGGAUUGUAAAAGGUCUGCAUCGGGUCAGUGACCUGUGUUUGUGUGUAGCAUAGCGUUAACCUUGUCUGACACUAAACGCUACAUCAGCUUCCACCCCAUAAAGCAUUCUUUCAAAACUCUUAUGUUUGUUCCUUUCGCUGUGGUAGGGUAAUUAGUAGACUAUAAAAUGCGGGUCAAAGUUAAAUUUUCCCGAGUUUCGAGGCCGAAACCCCAGCGCCAGUUCGCCAGUGUUAUGUCACAGCUCUUUUUUAUACGUUUACGUGUGUAUAUGUGUGCGUGUGCUUGGCGUGUUGCCACUUGGCAGUAGUUUAUUAUUAUUUUUUUUUAGGGGAGGGGGCUUCUUUGGAAUGAGGUCUCGCUCGCAUUUAUAAAUUUGACUAUAGGUCAGGGAAGACGCCAUUAAACUUCAUGACAUCGCGGUGUCGACAUUUCGGCCUACCACGGGAUGACUCUUGUACACGUUCUGAUCUUGUUCAGUUUUCAGACGUUCGCCUUCCGCUCCCGCGAUUUACCAGAGACCAGCUGUACGACGAUGGCUGGCGUCUGGCCAAACGCGUGAGCCGAAACAGAACCUUCGAAAACCGAACAAGGUUCCGCACCAGGUGUCCUUUUAAAGCGAGAGUUUUGUUGCUGUUGUUUUGAAUCGUACGAAGGUAAUUCAAACGCACCGCUGGACCUUUUUUUUUGUCUUUUUAGUGUCCCUUUAAGUUACAAGUUGGCUGCCGUUUAUAGCGUGGCCGCACCCACAGCCGUGCGUUGUUAUAUCGUUGUCACGCAGUUAUACUGACCACUGUGAGAUGUUGACACGAGCGGACCGAAAAAAAAAGUGUGUGUGUGUGUGUGUAUCACAUUAAGAGAUACGUGUUCAACGUGCGUGGAUAUAUGUAGGCUAUGUGUGAUAGAGCAGUGACUUUAUGUGAUUUCGGUGUUCUUCUUGUCGGGAAGGGAGCCUGUCGUCGAAGACUCAAGAUCUGAGAGAGUUGUUGUUGAAAGAGGUGUUAUACGCGAACGUACUACUAAAGGAGACACAUGCACGAGCGCAAACGAUGCUACUAUGUAUAAUGUUGACAUAUUAUUACACGCUACGCCAAUAAAAGCGAAGUGUUUGACGUUCCAUU
rnacentral:lncRNA from 1 species